rnacentral:rRNA from 1 species
CAGUAGCCGCGGUAAAACGUAGGUGGCAAGCGUUGUCCGGAAUUAUUGGGCGUAAAGGGCUCGCAGGCGGUUUCUUAAGUCUGAUGUGAAAGCCCCCGGCUCAACCGGGGAGGGUCAUUGGAAACUGGGAAACUUGAGUGCAGAAGAGGAGAGUGGAAUUCCACGUGUAGCGGUGAAAUGCGUAGAGAUGUGGAGGAACACCAGUGGCGAAGGCGACUCUCUGGUCUGUAACCGACGCUGAGGAGCGAAAGCGUGGGGAGCGAACAGGAUUAGAGACCCCAGUAGUCCCUGUCUCUUAUAC